rnacentral:misc_RNA from 1 species
UUGAGCAUAUUGAUCACUAGCUGCAUUACACAAAAUGGCACCCACAUUAAAUGGAGUAUCCAAAAAGCUGCCCUUCCCAAUCCACAACAUGCCAGUUUAAGUUGUACUUUAAAUAAUGCAUCAUCUGCCCUGAACUUUCAUCAAAACUUGGAUAUUGAAACAUAAAAACAGUGCUUCCAUUGACUUUACCCAAAUUAAUUCAGCUG